rnacentral:rRNA from 1 species
AGUGAACGCUGGCGGUAGGCCUAACACAUGCAAGUCGAACGGCAGCACAGGAGAGCUUGCUCUCUGGGUGGCGAGUGGCGGACGGGUGUGGAAUACAUCGGAAUCUACUUUUUCGUGGGGGAUAACGUAGGGAAACUUACGCUAAUACCGCAUACGACCUACGGGUGAAAGCAGGGGAUCUUCGGACCUUGCGCGAUUGAAUGAGCCGAUGUCGGAUUAGCUAGUUGGCGGGGUAAAGGCCCACCAAGGCGACGAUCCGUAGCUGGUCUGAGAGGAUGAUCAGCCACACUGGAACUGAGACACGGUCCAGACUCCUACGGGAGGCAGCAGUGGGGAAGAUUGGACAAUGGGCGCAAGCCUGAUCCAGCCAUACCGCGUGGGUGAAGAAGGCCUUCGGGUUGUAAAGCCCUUUUGUUGGGAAAGAAAUCCAGCUGGUUAAUACCCGGUUGGGAUGACGGUACCCAAAGAAUAAGCACCGGCUAACUUCGUGCCAGCCGCCGCGGUAA